UGAGUCCGAGGAGCUACGGCUCUUAAGUGAUACGAGUCAGACUUCCCAGAAAAGCCCGAACCACGUUAAUCUCUAAUUACCUGUACCCGAAACCGACACAGGUGGGUAGGUAGAGUAUACUAAGGGGCGCGAGAUAACUCUCUCUCUAAGGAACUCGGCAAAAUGACUCCGUAACUUCGGGAGAAGGAGUGCCUUAUUUAUAAGGUUGCAAUAACAAGAUCCAAGCAACUGUUUAUCAAAAACACAGGUCUCCGCUAAGUCGUAAGACGAUGUAUGGGGGCUGACGCCUGCCCUGUGCCAGAAGGUUAAAGAAGUUGGUUAGUGUAUGCGAAGCUGAUGACUGAAGCCCUGGUGAACGGCGGCCGUAACUAUAACGGUCCUAAGGUAGCGAAAUUCCUUGUCGGGUAAGUUCCGACCCGCACGAAAGGCGUAAUGAUUUGGAUACUGUCUCGGAGAGAGGCUCGGUGAAAUAGACUUGUCUGUGAAGAUGCGGACUACCUGCACCAGGACAGAAAGACCCUAUGAAGCUUUACUGUAACUUGAAAUUGGAAUUGGACUUUGCUUGCGCAGUAUAGGUGGGAAGCGUUGAAAAUAUUCUUGCGGGAGUAUUGGAGCUAUCAGUGAGAUACCACUCUUGUAAUGUUAGAUUUCUAACUUUGAACCAUAAUCUGGUCAAAGAACAGUUUCAGGUGGGCAGUUUGACUGGGGCGGUCGCCUCCCAAAUGGUAACGGAGGCGUACAAAGGUUUCCUCUGAACGGAUAGAAAUCGUAUCUAGAGUGUAAAGGCAUAAGGAAGCUUGACUGUGAGACCUACAAGUCGAGCAGGGACGAAAGUCGGUCUUAGUGAUCUGACGGUACUGAGUGGAAAGGCCGUCACUCAACGGAUAAAAGUUACUCUAGGAUAACAGGCUGAUCUCCCCCAAGAGUUCACAUCGACGGGGAGGUUUGGCACCUCGAUGUCGGCUCAUCGCAUCCUGGGGCGGUAGUACGUCCCAAGGGUUGGGCUGUUCGCCCAUGAAAGCGGUACGCGAGCUGGGUUCAGAACGUCGUGAGACAGUUCGGUCCAUAUCCGGUGUAGGCGCUAGAAUAUUGAGAGGAGCCUUCUUUAGUACGAGAGGACCGAGAAGGACACACCGCUGGUGUACCAGUUAUCGUGCCAACGGUAAACGCUGGGUAGCUAUGUGUGGAGUGGAUAACCGCUGAAAGCAUCUAAGUGGGAAGCCCACCUCGAGAUGAGUAUUCCC
rnacentral:rRNA from 1 species